GUUGGACACAACUCAAGUGACUUAGCAUGCACAGAGGGUUUUAAAACAAUGGAAUGACAAUUUGAUCUAAUUUGUAGCCUGAUUGGGUUGUUGGGUCUGUUCUGUGGGCUGUGGGCUGCGGGGUGGGGAGGCAUGAGGAGAAGUGGGAAUUGCAGAUCAGGAGGGAAAAGAGGCUGCUUGACCAGGCUGGUAGCUGAGGAGCAUAGCUGGGCAGGUGAGCAUCUGCUCAUAAGGACAGGCCACCCACUUGGGGUUUGUUGACUGACUAAUUGAGCAGAAGAGACCCCAAUCCUAGGGCUACCCCCAGUGGGCAGGGCACCCUUGCCAUCAGCUUCAGUGCUGAUGGGUUAACAAAACUCUCUAAGACACCUGUGCUUGAGAAGUCUUGUGACACCCAGCAUCUUGCUGGGUCGCUGGGGUUGAUGGCUGUCUGGAUGGACCCAGAAAAAGAGUGUCCAAGAGGAGGAGGAACUCUCAGAGAGUCAUACGUGUGGCGGCCAGCGUCACUGGGAUAAAGUCAAGGUGUCGGCAAGGCUGGUUCUUCCUGAGGCCUCUAGGGAAGAAGCUGAUCCUCACCACCUCUGGCUUCCAGAGUCUGCUAGCAUUCCCUGGCUUGUGGCCACAUCACUCCAGUGUCUGCUUCUACUGUCUCCUCACUUUCCACCUCUCCAAUCUGCUGCCCCGCCUCCUCUUAUAAGACCCUGAUGCCUGCCUCGGGCCCAUCUGGAUAAUCGAGAAUAAUCUCCCCAUCUCAAAAUCCUUAAUGUAAUCACUCCUGCAAAUUCCCCUUUGCCGUGUCGGGUAACAUUCAGAGGCUCUGUGGAUCAGGACAUGGAUAUCUGAUUUCCAGUAUUCUGCCUGCCACACACCUCCAUCCAUCACAGCAUCUCAUCUUCACGGUGGCUCUGGGAGGCUGAAACACUGAGGCUCAGGAAGGUUACUUGAUUUUCUGAAAGUCACACAGCUAGAAGGUUGAAGGAAAGGGGAAGUGGACUCCAGGUCUGUGUGAUCCUAACUGAAUUUAACAGGCUACAUAGUCAUUUAAGAGGCGAACAAGGCACUUGCAUCAUCAAAGAGGUCUUUGGUGUUUUCCUUCUGAGAUUUCUGCUCUUCAACGUGCCCGGGCUGGCCUUUGGCCCUCCUUCUUUUCUUGGGGGUUAAGAUUUGAGUGUCUGUCUGAGCACAAAGGGAACACCUGCAGCCUGUCCUAGUUCGAGGAGUGACCCACAUUCGAAGAAGGAGCUCGGCAAGCCAUGCUGGGUCUCUGGUCUUCACGGCAGUUCAAGGGUUGCUCACACGCACGCUCACAUGUGGUUUGGUAAAUGAUUUUCUCAGUUA
ensembl:lncRNA